rnacentral:rRNA from 1 species
AUAGUUAAAACUUUCAACAACGGAUCUCUUGGUUCUGGCAUCGAUGAAGAACGCAGCGAAAUGCGAUAAGUAAUGUGAAUUGCAGAAUUCAGUGAAUCAUCGAAUCUUUGAACGCACAUUGCGCCCCUUGGUAUUCCGGGGGGCAUGCCUGUUCGAG